rnacentral:rRNA from 1 species
AACGAACGCUGGCGGCAUGCCUAACACAUGCAAGUCGAACGAGACCUUCGGGUCUAGUGGCGCACGGGUGCGUAACGCGUGGGAAUCUGCCCUUGGGUUCGGAAUAACAGCGAGAAAUUGCUGCUAAUACCGGAUGAUGACGUAAGUCCAAAGAUUUAUCGCCCAAGGAUGAGCCCGCGUAGGAUUAGCUAGUUGGUGAGGUAAAGGCUCACCAAGGCGACGAUCCUUAGCUGGUCUGAGAGGAUGAUCAGCCACACUGGGACUGAGACACGGCCCAGACUCCUACGGGAGGCAGCAGUGGGGAAUAUUGGACAAUGGGCGAAAGCCUGAUCCAGCAAUGCCGCGUGAGUGAUGAAGGCCUUAGGGUUGUAAAGCUCUUUACCCGGGAUGAUAAUGACAGUACC